GCAAGUAUGAAAGGCGAUUGCGAGCCGUUGGUUCGAGGAAAGUCCGAGCUCCAUAGGGCAGGAUGCCGGAUAACGUCCGGCGUGGGUGACCAUAGGGAAUAGUGCCACAGAAAAGUAAACCGCCGCGUAUGCGGUAAGGGUGGAACGGUGUCGGUAAGAGCGCACCAGCGAUGCAGUAAUGUAUCGGCUCGGUAAACCCCAUCCGGAGCAAGGCCGAAUAGGAAAGGGUUAAGGGUGGCCCGCCUACCUUUCGGGUUGUGCCGCUUGAACAUAUAGGUAACUAUAUGUCUAGAAAGAUAAUCGCCACUGCUUUGCAGAACAGAACUCGGCUUAUUGAUUGCUUGCUCAA
rnacentral:RNase_P_RNA from 1 species